rnacentral:rRNA from 1 species
GACGAACGCUGGCGGCGUGCUUAACACAUGCAAGUCGAACGGAAAGGCCCUGCUUUUGUGGGGUGCUCGAGUGGCGAACGGGUGAGUAACACGUGAGUAACCUGCCCUUGACUUUGGGAUAACUUCAGGAAACUGGGGCUAAUACCGGAUAGGAGCUCCUGCUGCAUGGUGGGGGUUGGAAAGUUUCGGCGGUUGGGGAUGGACUCGCGGCUUAUCAGCUUGUUGGUGGGGUAGUGGCUUACCAAGGCUUUGACGGGUAGCCGGCCUGAGAGGGUGACCGGCCACAUUGGGACUGAGAUACGGCCCAGACUCCUACGGGAGGCAGCAGUGGGGAAUAUUGCACAAUGGGUGGAAGCCCGAUGCAGCAACGCCGUGUGCGGGAUGACGGCCUUCGGGUUGUAAACCGCUUUCGCUCAUGACGAAGCUUUGUGUGACGGUAGUGGGUAAAGAAGCACCGGCUAACUACGUG